UACGUAGGGCGCAAGCGUUGUCCGGAAUUAUUGGGCGUAAAGAGCUCGUAGGCGGUUUGUCGCGUCUGCUGUGAAAACCUAAGGCUCAACCUUGGGCUUGCAGUGGGUACGGGCAGACUAGAGUGCGGUAGGGGUGACUGGAAUUCCUGGUGUAGCGGUGGAAUGCGCAAAUAUCAGGAGGAACACCGAUGGCGAAGGCAGGUCACUGGGCCGCAACUGACGCUGAGGAGCGAAAGCAUGGGGAGCGAACAGG
rnacentral:rRNA from 1 species